UGAUCUUUAAGUAGAGGUUGCAGGAAGUUUGGGGAGUUGAUUGGUAGGACUGAGUAGAAAGCAGAAGUAACACAGGAGGUGGAGGUAAAGAGAAGAGAAAUUAAGAAGGAAAAUCUCAUCAAAUGACAUAUUUAAAGAUAAAUUAAUUAAAUACAGAAAAGGGUCUUUUACAUGCAUCGUUGGAUUGCAGUCUCAAGCCUGGGAUUCCAACGGAAUUAACGUCCAUUGAAAACUUACUGUGCUCAAGGCACAGAACGGGGUAGUUUUAUACACAUUCUCCCAUUUGGAUUUUUCAAAGACAACAUCUAAUCAUCCCCAGAGAAAUUUCAGCUGAGAAGACAGGAUGGUGAGACAGUUCCUAAGUCUUUCCUAGACACAAUUGUCUUUGCAAGUCCUCUGCCACAGUCAAAGGUUUCCAUUCUAAUUGCAGAUGAAGUGCCCUGGGGGCCAGAGUCCAGACAAGUAUUUUGGCACCUCCAAGGACUCGCAGAACACAGAGAGGAAAAGAGAGACCCUGUUAUCUUUCCGCAGGGGUGGCCGUUCAAACUCUCAGAGAUGGAAGUUAAGAUUUCCUUUGGUAUAAGUGGCAGUUUGACUGGCUGCAAGGAGAGCCUCAGUUUGUUUAAUUUGGAGUAAAAUUUUAUGAGUUAAUCUCUAGUGAGGGAAAGCAGCAGUAAACACAGAACAUACUGGUCAUUAUUCUAAGUAUUUCUACAUUCUUUCUCAUGCAUGAAAGGAGAAAAAAAGUCACAAAAAUGAGGAGGCAUGGUGC
rnacentral:lncRNA from 1 species